CNACNCNUGCAGUCGAGCGGAUGAGGGAGCUUGCUCCUGGAUUCAGCGGCGGACGGGUGAGUAAUGCCUAGGAAUCUGCCUGGUAGUGGGGGAUAACGUCCGGAAACGGGCGCUAAUACCGCAUACGUCCUGAGGGAGAAAGUGGGGGAUCUUCGGACCUCACGCUAUCAGAUGAGCCUAGGUCGGAUUAGCUAGUUGGUGGGGUAAAGGCCUACCAAGGCGACGAUCCGUAACUGGUCUGAGAGGAUGAUCAGUCACACUGGAACUGAGACACGGUCCAGACUCCUACGGGAGGCAGCAGUGGGGAAUAUUGGACAAUGGGCGAAAGCCUGAUCCAGCCAUGCCGCGUGUGUGAAGAAGGUCUUCGGAUUGUAAAGCACUUUAAGUUGGGAGGAAGGGCAGUAAGUUAAUACCUUGCUGUUUUGACGUUACCAACAGAAUAAGCACCGGCUAACUUCGUGCCAGCAGCCGCGGUAAUACGAAGGGUGCAAGCGUUAAUCGGAAUUACUGGGCGUAAAGCGCGCGUAGGUGGUUCAGCAAGUUGGAUGUGAAAUCCCCGGGCUCAACCUGGGAACUGCAUCCAAAACUACUGAGCUAGAGUACGGUAGAGGGUGGUGGAAUUUCCUGUGUAGCGGUGAAAUGCGUAGAUAUAGGAAGGAACACCAGUGGCGAAGGCGACCACCUGGACUGAUACUGANNNNNAGGUGCGAAAGCGUGGGGAGCAAACAGGAUUAGAUACCCUGGUAGUCCACGCCGUAAACGAUGUCGACUAGCCGUUGGGAUCCUUGAGAUCUUAGUGGCGCAGCUAACGCGAUAAGUCGACCGCCUGGGGAGUACGGCCGCAAGGUUAAAACUCAAAUGAAUUGACGGGGCCCGCACAAGCGGUGGAGCAUGUGGUUUAAUUCGAAGCACGCGAAGACCUUACCUGGCCUUGACAUGCUGAGAACUUUCCAGAGAUGGAUNGGUGCCUUCGGGAACUCNNANNCNNNGCUGCAUGGNUGUCGUCAGCUCGUGUCGUGAGAUNUNGGNUAAGUCCCGUANNAGCGCAACCG
rnacentral:rRNA from 1 species